CACGUAGGGAGCAAGCGUUGUCCGGAUUUAUUGGGCGUAAAGAGCUCGUAGGUGGUUCGGUAAGUCGGGUGUGAAAACUCUGGCUCAACUCAGAGACGCCACCCGAUACUGCUGUGACUCGAGUCUGGUAGGGGAGUGUGGAAUUCCCGGUGUAGCGGUGGAAUGACGUAGAGAUCGGGAAGAACAUCAGUGGCGAAGGCGGUCUGCUGGGCCGUUGCUGACGCUGAGGGCGCCGACAGCGUGGGGAGCAAACAGG
rnacentral:rRNA from 1 species